UCCAGCAAUGCCGCGUGUGUGAAGAAGGCCUUCGGGUUGUAAAGCACUUUUGUCCGGAAAGAAAUCCUUGGCUCUAAUACAGUCGGGGGAUGACGGUACCGGAAGAAUAAGCACCGGCUAACUACGUGCCAGCAGCCGCGGUAAUACGUAGGGUGCAAGCGUUAAUCGGAAUUACUGGGCGUAAAGCGUGCGCAGGCGGUUUGCUAAGACCGAUGUGAAAUCCCCGGGCUCAACCUGGGAACUGCAUUGGUGACUGGCAGGCUAGAGUAUGGCAGAGGGGGGUAGAAUUCCACGUGUAGCAGUGAAAUGCGUAGAGAUGUGGAGGAAUACCGAUGGCGAAGGCAGCCCCCUGGGCCAAUACUGACGCUCAUGCACGAAAGCGUGGGGAGCAAACAGGAUUAGAUACCCUGGUAGUCCACGCCCUAAACGAUGUCAACUAGUUGUUGGGGAUUCAUUUCCUUAGUAACGUAGCU
rnacentral:rRNA from 1 species